rnacentral:rRNA from 1 species
AGAGUUUGAUCAUGGCUCAGGAUGAACGCUGGCGGCGUGCCUAAUACAUGCAAGUCGAACGAGGUGCUUUUGUAGCAAUACGAGAGUAUCCUAGUGGCGAACGGGUGAGUAACGCGUUGGUGACCUGCCCCAAAGUGUGGGAUAACAGUCCGAAAGGACUGCUAGUACCGCAUGUGGUCAUCGGGUUUAGAAACCGAUGUCUAAAGCAGUAAUGCGCUUUGGGAGGGGCCUGCGUCCCAUCAGCUAGUUGGUGAGGUAACGGCUCACCAAGGCUACGACGGGUAGGGGACCUGAGAGGGUGGCCCCCCMCAAUGGAACUGAAACACGGUCCAUACACCUACGGGUGGCAGCAGUAGGGAAUAUUGCACAAUGGGCGAAAGCCUGAUGCAGCAACGCCGCGUGUGCGAUGAAGGCCUUCGGGUCGUAAAGCACUUUUCUGAGAGAUGAGAAAGGACAGUAUCUCAGGAAUAAGUCUCGGCUAACUACGUGCCAGCCGCCGCGGUAAUACA